GCAGACUUCCUGCUGAACGUGGAGCCCAGUGUGGGGUUCAGUCCCACAACCGGAGAUCAUGACAUGAGCCGAAAUAGUCGGACGUUUGACUGAGCCACCCAGGCGCCCCUGUAAUAGUCUAGUUUUAGCUCAUAACAACUUACGUUUGAACGUCUACAGAAGCUCUACAUUUAUACAUUGUUUCCACUUUUUGUUUGAUAUUCAUUUGCAAAUUAGUUAAUUUUUAGUACUUUUAUCUCUUAAUCUUCACACUAGAGUUGUGAUUUACCCAACACUGUUAAAACAUUAGAGUAUUCUGAAUUUAACUGUAUGUUUACCUUUAUGAGUGAGUUUUAUACUUUGAUAGGGUUUCCUGUUACUAAUUAGCAUCUUUCCAUCUCAGCUUGAAGAACUCCCUUUAACAUGUAAAGCUGAUGUAGUGGUCAUGACCUCCUUUAGCUCUUGUCUGGUAAACUCUCUCUCCUUCAGUUCUUCACUCACAACUUUGUGAGUGUGGUAUUAUUCCUGUUUGGCAGUUUCUUCUUACCAAUUGGAAUAGACCAUCAAGUUUUUGCUGACAAAUCUGUUGGUAGUCUUACGGGGUUUCCUUUGUAUGUUGCAAGGUUUUCUCUUCCUGCCUUAAGAUUCUUUACUUUGGCCACUUCAGUUACACUGUGUCCGUGUGCAUUUCUUUAGAUUGAUACUUUCUGGAACUCUUCAGGCUUCCUGACUCUCUGACAGGAUGAAUUCCACUGGCCUGUUUUCCAAGUUUGCUGAUCCUUUCUUCUGUUUGAUCUAGUCUGCUGUUGACCCAUCUACCGAAUUUUUCAGCUGUUCCUGUGUUCUUCAGCUGUAUGAUUUGAUACUUAAUUUUCUCAUUGUUGAGAUUUUCGGUUUGUUCAUGUGUGGCUCUGACCUCCAUGAGCGUCUGUAGAGCUCACUUCGCACUCUUAGGUGGUCGCAUCCUCUAGAAGGCUAUGGAUGCGUGACGUGUGACGUGAGAAGUCCCCAGCCCGCUCCCCCCAGACGAUACCCCCUGAACACAUCUCUAUUCAUACCUUCCCCAGGAUCCCGAGGUGGCAUCUCAGUUAGCAACAGCCGUGGCUCAGUAAGUGACAAGGGCUGGUGGUCCUUACUCAGAAACUUCAGAUGAUGAAAAUCCCAGUGCCUGAUCAUGCUAACAGAGUCGAUGAAAACGCGUCUCUCUGCCAUCUCCUCUCCAGCACUGGUAUUGGUUAUCAAGCAAGCGACAAUAACAGACAAGGCUGGUGUUACAAAGUUUUAACACUUCAUUUAGAGAUACUGCUCCAAGUUCAAGAGAAUUAGUUUUUAACGGAUGCUCACCAAGGUCAGUACAUAACUGAAUCCUUUCACAACGUGGAAAUAGCCAGAUCUCAUCUUUUUGUAAUUCACUCAGGGUAAGUCAUCUUAUUAAUCUACAAUGCAAAAUGCGUGGACUAAAGCUAUUUACAAAUUCCUGUCACCAGACUGCAGCAACCUACGCUCGGCUUUAGUCAGGGAGAUGUCAGGCUCCCGAGGAGCGCUCCCUACGGCUCCUCGUUGGCCUUAAGCAAUUUAGAAUUUAGUGCAGCAAUCUUCCCGACUCUUAAACUUCAAGACAGCAUAGUUAUAGGUAGUAGCCAUCAUGUAGAUCAGCUGGUGGAAGAGAACAGAACACGACAGUAAGAUAACGGCAGUCAGGGCGGCCGCCCGCUUGGGACCCACGGCCUGGCUUCUUCCCCAUCUAUCAUCACCCAGAAGGGGGUCCUGCGGGGCACACAGAUGUCCUCGUGCUUCCAUGCACACUGCUAGUCCUGGCCUCUGCCGUCUGGCCGUUGAUGCAGAAGCCUGGGAGGUGCUGGAAGAUGAGAAGCGCCAGGGGCAGGUUGGGGGCCCGUAUGCCCUGGUCUUCCCCAGCCGGCCCCUGUGGCGGCACAGAGUCCGCCGCUGGCUCCUUUCUCAGCAAGAGCACGGGUCGCCCCCAGAAUGGGAAAGGCCUUUGUUUGCGGGGGCCAGAAAGUUUCCCUCUGGGUCUACCAAGCCUCGAUUUCUUGAACGCCCACAGCGAGCCUUCCCGACCUCUGGCCGUACAUGCAGGAACCCGGGGCCCUUUACACUUGCUCCUCCUUAGCGACCGGUUCCCUAUCAGCCCCUUUCCCUCCGUGCGACCAUCCCUGCUCGCGGCACGGGCCUGGUCCCCGGCGGACACGCAGAGUGGGGCCCGGGGUCAGGCUCCCAACUGCGGUCAGCCCAGGCCCCAGUGGCUUGUCUCAGACUGUCCCCCAGCCGCCUUGCCGCAGGCGAGUCCGUGCUGGGGCAGGGAGGGGGUUUGCAUUCUGUGAUGUUGCUCUUUACAGGUUUCCUGACCACAGUGCCGAACGAAGGGCUCUUGAAAGUCUACAGAGAGCAAGACGGCUCGGAGGGGCCACGGAGCUUCCUUCAGGUAGGAGCCGUAGUGCGGACACCAGGAGCUCAGUGUUAACACCGUGGUGGUCUACACUAAAUCAGGUAUCUUGGAGCAGAACCACAUCAAACAAGGUUAUGUGGUGAUGUGUUUGGCAAGAGAUGUACCCAGUGGUGGCAGAAAGUGAACCCUGUGUGUCCCUCUAGAAACAGAGGAGACCACCGAAGCAGCUCACCCGUCCCGGGACGGAGGGCUACCUACAGGCGGUGCCAGCUGGAAACACAGAUUUCCUGGCAGAGAUGCCCGGCAAGUCCAGGCUCACGGUGCAGCUCUGCCCUAGGCCAGGCCUGGGUACUACCCUGUCGUCUUCCAGCAGAAUCCAAGUUCUGCCACCUGCGCUCUGGGCCUAACAGGCAGUAUGGUCUGCCUGCACCCCAGCCCCGGGGGGAGAUCUACACGGGUGACAUGGAACCGGGCUGCGUCCCGGAGGUGGGCCGCAGGAGGGCAUGUCUGGCAGGAGAGCCUGGAGGGAGGGGAGCGGCGCUAGGCAGGCGCGGGGCCGCGGUUACUCACCAGGGCGAUGACGGUGGCGCCAGCUCCGGCGCACGCCACGAUGAACAGGUGGUAGGACAUGUAGAACUAGGAAAGAACAGGGCACCGGGUGAGCGCUAUAGGCGGAGGGGACGAGCCUCUACCUGGUCCUGCUCCUCCAGGGCUGCUUUCCCCGGGGCCGCUCCCUGGUAGGGGUGGGGGGCUUGCUAAAGCUUCCUGAGGCCCGGGCUGUACCCACGACUAGUUGAAUCUCAGUGAUGGGCGGUAUAAUUCUCCUCAUGACCGCCCUGUGCCGCCACCCUUGGGAGCCCCUGCUUGGAACCAGGCCCUGGUACGGAGAAGCCAAAGGGCCGACGACGGAGGCGGGGCUGAUGGUUUCAGUAACUCGCGGCUUUCCCAAAGCAGGCUCGGAUUCCCCGAAGGAUGCGAGCUCCCCCUGGCGCCCCGGAGAAACCGCUCUAACCAAUGCCGAAAGCACGUUCUAAGGCCUGAGUUUGAAGCAAAGUGGGUUAGGGUGUACUGUGAGCUAAGAGUGAGUGAGAAGUAGUGAUGACCAGCUCUGACUAGAUUGAGAGGAAUUUGUCUUCUAUACAAAUUCUAGGGUUUUUUUAAAAGGGGAUCUUUUCCAUAUGAAUAUUUGCAUUUGUCCCGUGAUAAAUGUCCCACUUUGAAAAACCGUGUGAAGGCAAAAGAGAAGAAUCUACGUGUGUUUUCAGAUGGAGGCAGUUAGGGUCACUCAAAUCAGUGCCCGAGGAGAAAGCUCUCGGUGUGCUAAGGAUCCUCCCUGAACCUGCUGGACCAUGCGAAAGGGGCAUUUUCUGGGUCAGAAAUGGGUGAGUAUGGGUGAAGACAGACUGUUGGUUUGAUCUUAAAAAGUCUGCAGAGAAAAGCCUUCCUUCCUAGCAUCUGUACCACCUCCUGCUCUGUCUCCCCAGGAGGGCCCUUCCUCAGCCGGCUCCACCAAGCAGCCGUGUCCAGGCCCUGACAGGAGAAGGGUUUACCUCACUGGUGUUGCAGAUGUUCUCGAGGGCGGAGCCGCAGAUUUUCCCUGGGAAAGCAUUCCAUGGGAUGAUACCUGUCAGGUGAAGCCCAACAGACGGCUCUGUUUUCAAACCAUCAGGAAGACUAGUGCAGCUGAACCUUGGUGUUUAUGAGAAAACUACUCCAGUGGGCAGUCCUGGGCAAGUUUCUCAUUAUGUUGUAAGAAAAGAUGUUGAAGCCAAGCCCCAUGGGAAAAACAAGAAGCACAAAUGAAACCGUCCUCUCUCCUGAGAAAUCUUGUCUUUAAUUUUAAUGAAAAGUCCCCCCCCCCGCCCCCGCCUUGCUGUUUCUGCCAGGAACAAGGUCCCUCAGCAUCUUGGCAAGAAGCACUCAUUAAAGUCCUGACUUGGGAGGCUGCCUCUCAAUUUAAUUGACAGGAAGAGCAAUGGCCCUUCUGCGGCUUGUCAAAAUGAACCAACCUUAGCUGCCCAUUGCAAGUAUCCCAUUCAUUAGAAAAUGGGCUUGAAGGGGUUUCCAACAAGCCAGAUUUUAUUGAGUUCAGUCUGAUGACUUUAAACUAUGUCUGGAUUUUGUUGCGUUUUCCAGGAGAGCUGAAGUUUAAGCAUUUGGUCAUUUUAAAAGCCCUGAUUUGAAGAGUGGGACAUGGAAAUUAAUUGGACUACAGGGUAUACACAAUAUUUUGGAUAAAGACUUGAAUGGUACAAAACUGAAAAGAAAUUGAAAAAUCUGUAAUCUUUUGAUGUCCAGAAGAUGGAUUAUAAUGCACUGCUACUUGGUAACCCAGUUUGAAAAGUUUCCUUUGCUCCAUACUUGAGAAUACAACAAAAAUCUGUAUUACAA